UUAAGUUCAGCGGGUAUCCCUACCUGAUCCGAGGUCAACCAUAAAAAAUUGGGGGUUGCUGGCAAGCGUCCACCAAGACUCAGAAGCGAGGGUUUAAUUACUACGCGUAGAGCUCGAUGGCACCGCCACUGAUUUUAAGGCCGGCCACGACGGCCAGGCCCAAGACCAAGCAGAGCUUGAGGGUUGAAAUGACGCUCGGA
rnacentral:misc_RNA from 1 species